rnacentral:rRNA from 1 species
UACGGGGGGGGCAAGCGUUGUUCGGAAUUACUGGGCGUAAAGGGUGCGUAGGCGGUUGUUUAAGUCUGUUGUGAAAUCCCCGGGCUCAACCUGGGAAUGGCAAUGGAUACUGGGCAGCUAGAGUGUGUCAGAGGAUGGUGGAAUUCCCGGUGUAGCGGUGAAAUGCGUAGAGAUCGGGAGGAACAUCAGUGGCGAAGGCGGCCAUCUGGGACAACACUGACGCUGAAGCACGAAAGCGUGGGGAGCAAACAGG